UCUGUGGGUACAGGAAACUGCAACACACUGUCUUGGAGAGCAAGCUGUUCACCUUUCCAUUUACAUUGUCUGUGUCCACCUUUUACUAAUUCUCCAAAAACCUGAGGACUCUUGGGGGAUUUGAUCGCCCAGUUCUACACGGGCCGUUUUCCCCACCUGAUUCCCCCAGUAUUGUAGAAAACCCACGCCGGACACCCCUUCUCUCUGAUGCAGUGGGUUCAUUAAACUGAUAACUAUCUUUGUUUAUUGACAGAAGGCGGGGAUUAUGGUAUAGAAGGGAAUUUGAAGAGGGUGACUCAAGCCCAAACCCACCAGAAGGAAUCUGAAGAUCAUGAAGAUUUGACACCUUGCCCAUAGGAACAUACAACGAGAAAAGAGUUAUGAAAUUCCUCGGAAGUGUGGCAUUGGUCUUUUUCAUUCAUUGUACUGCAUAAUUGGAAGAGGGGAACCCCAGAGAGAGAGAUUUUGAAUCUUGUGGAUUUGGUCUCUUAUUCCUUAUUGGUUUCCAAAAUUCUUAUCCCUUUAUUCCUACUUUUUAUUUCCUUAUAUUUUGUUCUUUCUCAGGGAGACUUACUUGCCUUUAUCUUCUAAUCCUUCCGUUAAUUUGGGGAGAAGGUUAGCUAUCACAGUUUGUUUUUUUUAAGAUUUUAUUUUUGGGAGUCUGAAUGGCUCAGUCAGUUAAGCGUCCAACUCUUUAUUUCAGCUCAGGUCUUACUCUCAGGGUCAUGAGAUGGAGCCCCAU